UACGUAGGGACCAAGCGUUGUUCGGAUUUACUGGGCGUAAAGGGCGCGUAGGCGGCAAUUCAAGUCAUUUGUGAAAUCUCCGGGCUUAACCCGGAACGGUCAGGUGAUACUGUUUUGCUAGAGUGCGGAAGGGGCAAUCGGAAUUCUCGGUGUAGCGGUGAAAUGCGUAGAUAUCGAGAGGAACACCAGAGGUGAAGACGGGUUGCUGGGCCGACACUGACGCUGACAGCGCGAAAGCCAGGGGAGCAAACGGG
rnacentral:rRNA from 1 species